GCCAGGUGUAGUGGCUCACACCUGUAAUCCCAGCACUUUGGGAGGCCGAGGCAGGAGGAUCACUUGAGGUCAGGAGUUCUAGACCAGCCUGACCAACAUAGUGAAACUCUGUCUCUA
ensembl:misc_RNA Metazoa_SRP Metazoan signal recognition particle RNA